rnacentral:miRNA from 1 species
GAGAGAACGAGAGAGAGA